GGGCCGAAGGAGCGGGCGGGGUUCAUGCUGGCGCCCGUGUAGGGGAUCUGAAACAGACCAGAGGAGGGGAAGGGGCAGGCCGUGAACACAAGAGCACGAAGCGAGGGAGAAGUGGUUAGAGACUUCCGAAUCUGAGGCGGUUUGUGUUGCCGUUGACCUUACCUCAGUAACCCCCAGCCCUCCUCUCACGGACGCUGGAGUCACCAUGUAGAGCACCCCCGCGCCGACCACGGCUCCCAGGCACUGCGCGGCCAGGUAGAAGAGGGCCUUGGCCAGGCUGAGCUUGCGGGCGCACACCAUGGCGACGGUGACGGCGGGGUUGACGUGGGCGCCGCUGAUGUGGCCGAAGCACUGCACCAUGGUUGCGAUGGUCAGCCCGAAGCACAGGGAGAUGAGCACCAGGUCGGCGGGCGGCGGCUUCUUCUCCUCCUCCUCCCCUUCCUCGCCCGCCGCCGCCGCCGCCGCCGCCCAGCUCACGGUGGAGCCCAGGCUGAGCAGGACGAAGAUGAGCGUCGCCAGGAACUCGCCGGACGCCGCCCGCCAGAAGUCCUGCGUCCAGACGCCCUUGAAUGCCGCCAUCGCGCGGGAGCGGUUGCACGAGCACAGGCGCCGCCUGGACGGAGGGUCUCAAAUUUGCCGAUGAAGUCGUAGGUGAUGAAACAGGGGAAGCAGAGCCUGUUGACCGUCUCCCAGUGGAUGUCCAUCCCCCCCG